rnacentral:rRNA from 1 species
GAGUACGGCCGCAAGGUUAAAACUCAAAUGAAUUGACGGGGGCCCGCACAAGCGGUGGAGCAUGUGGUUUACUUCGAUGCAACGCGAAGAACCUUACCUACUCUUGACAUCCACGGAAUUUGGCAGAGAUGCCUUAGUGCCUUCGGGAACCGUGAGACAGGUGCUGCAUGGCUGUCGUCAGCUCGUGUUGUGAAAUGUUGGGUUAAGUCCCGCAACGAGCGCAACCCUUAUCCUUUGUUGCCAGCGAUUCGGUCGGGAACUCAAAGGAGACUGCCGGUGAUAAACCGGAGGAAGGUGGGGAUGACGUCAAGUCAUCAUGGCCCUUACGAGUAGGGCUACACACGUGCUACAAUGGCGCAUACAAAGAGAAGCGACCUCGCGAGAGCAAGCGGACCUCACAAAGUGCGUCGUAGUCCGGAUCGGAGUCUGCAACUCGACUCCGUGAAGUCGGAAUCGCUAGUAAUCGUGGAUCAGAAUGCCACGGUGAAUACGUUCCCGGGCCUUGUACACACCGCCCGUCACACCAUGGGAGUGGGUUGCAAAAGAAGUAGGUA